AUGCACGCUGGCGGCGUGCCUAAUACCUGCCAGUCGAGCGAACAGACGAGGAGCUUGCUCCUCUGACGUUAGCGGCGGACGGGUGAGUAACACGUGGAUAACCUACCUAUAAGACUGGGAUAACUUCGGGAAACCGGAGCUAAUACCGGAUAAUAUAUUGAACCGCAUGGUUCAAUAGUGAAAGACGGUUUUGCUGUCACUUAUAGAUGGAUCCGCGCCGCAUUAGCUAGUUGGUAAGGUAACGGCUUACCAAGGCAACGAUGCGUAGCCGACCUGAGAGGGUGAUCGGCCACACUGGAACUGAGACACGGUCCAGACUCCUACGGGAGGCAGCAGUAGGGAAUCUUCCGCAAAGGGCGAAAGCUUGACGGAGCAACGCCGCGUGAGUGAUGAAGGUCUUCGGAUCGUAAAACUCUGUUAUUAGGGAAGAACAAAUGUGUAAGUAACUAUGCACGUCUUGACGGUACCUAAUCAGAAAGCCACGGCUAACUACGUG
rnacentral:rRNA from 1 species